UACGUAGGCGGGAAAUUAAGUCAGUAGUGAAAUCCCACAGCUUAACUGUGGAACUGUUAUUGAUACUGGUUUUCUUGAAUAUAGUUGAGGUAGGCGGAAUGUGUAAUGUAGCGGUGAAAUGCUUAGAUGUUACACAGAACACCGAUUGCGAAGGCAGCUUACUAAGCUAUGAUUGACGCUGAGGUACGAAAGCGUGGGGAGCGAACAGAAUUAGAUACCCUGGUAGUCC
rnacentral:rRNA from 1 species